rnacentral:rRNA from 1 species
UACGAAGGGGGCUAGCGUUGCUCGGAAUCACUGGGCGUAAAGGGUGCGUAGGCGGGUCUUUAAGUCAGGGGUGAAAUCCUGGAGCUCAACUCCAGAACUGCCUUUGAUACUGGCAAUCUUGAGUCCGGAAGAGGUGAGUGGAACUCCUAGUGUAGAGGUGGAAUUCGUAGAUAUUAGGAAGAACACCAGUGGCGAAGGCGGCUCACUGGUCCGGUACUGACGCUGAGGUGCGAAAGCGUGGGGAGCAAACAGG